rnacentral:lncRNA from 1 species
GACAGGCUAUGUUUUCUGGCAAUGAACAUAGAAAGAAGUUUUGCUUGACAGAGAAGGUUUGGGAGCUGGUUUCUUCUUUAUCUACCUGGUACUUAUCAUGAAAGUAAAUAAUGGUUAUAGAAGGCACUCAUUCAUCACUCAGUCAUCUCUGUCAUAACUCAAUUGCUGCAACAGUGGUACCACUUCUACACAUGCUAUGAAAGAACCAGCAUAAUCACUCUUUAAAGUCAUUACAGAUUAAACAAAUAACAGUGAAGCACAUUUUGGUAAACGUUUAUUUUUCUUGCUCUAAACAUAGUAUGUCCUCACAUUUACUUUAAGUUCUGUCCUUGAAUUAAUUUCAUUUAUAAUAUAUUUUAAAAAUAAGAAAAAACUUGAUGUCCCUCAUUAAGAAAACUUUUGAUUUGUAUGCAUCUCAUGUUGUGUUUUUGUAAACUACCACUGAAAAAUCUUAAGAUAAUUGCUGUAUAAUGGGGUAAUUAAUUAAAAUAACA